GUGGGGAAUAUUGGACAAUGGGGGGAACCCUGAUCCAGCCAUGCCGCGUGUGUGAAGAAGGCCUUUUGGUUGUAAAGCACUUUAAGCGAGGAGGAGGCUACCGAGAUUAAUACUCUUGGAUAGUGGACGUUACUCGCAGAAUAAGCACCGGCUAACUCUGUGCCAGCAGCCGCGGUAAUACAGAGGGUGCAAGCGUUAAUCGGAUUUACUGGGCGUAAAGCGUGCGUAGGCGGCUUUUUAAGUCGGAUGUGAAAUCGCCGAGCUUAACUUGGGAAUUGCAUUCGAUACUGGGAAGCUAGAGUAUGGGAGAGGAUGGUAGAAUUCCAGGUGUAGCGGUGAAAUGCGUAGAGAUCUGGAGGAAUACCGAUGGCGAAGGCAGCCAUCUGGCCUAAUACUGACGCUGAGGUACGAAAGCAUGGGGAGCAAACAGGAUUAGAUACCCCGGUAGUCC
rnacentral:rRNA from 1 species